GAUCGUUAACUGAAUUCUUAAAUUUAGAUAUAUGAUGCACAAACUUUUGUAAAUGCUUAUGGUGUCUAUGUCAUGCACAUAUUGAAUACCUUAUCUAUAUUGUGUUUUUGUGGUUAUUUGGAUUUUGGAGCACAUCACAUAAGUCUCCUCCAAGAUUUCAUAAUAAUUGUAUGUGAUCUGUCCGAAAGCGUGAAGCUGGAAAGCUGGGAGGUGGCGUCUUCGUUGACCGGACGUGGACUUCGCUUCGCUCUACAAAACAAAUAACCUCAGUGCUGGGCUAAGGAAGGGGUCUCCGGCGUUGCCCCUCCGACACUCAAGUCAGUGACUGGAAUAUGGAGAAAAACGGAGCAACAGUAGCAACAGUAGAACUCAAGAAUAACGUGCACCUCUGUCGAUGAUGGCCUCCCUUUAUAUAGAGCCUUGAUGGGCGACGUGCACACUUCCCAAAGCAUAGACACGUUCUCCAAUAUGUCCUAUGAAAGAAUCUGUCAGGAAAGUACCUUUGACAUCAUACCUUAACACGGCAUGCAUAUCCUUGACAACACAGUAGAAGCUUUCGCCGUACGAUCCGCCUGUCGACCAUGCCUCAUGUUAGCAACACUAUCUCUCAAAAUGAUGUCGAGAGAUACUACAAUGGUCCCGUUGCUGGGCCAAGCGGGGCAACCGCUCGGCCGGGACUCCGCUCCGUCCACGGCUAGGUCCCGCUGCUUAGCCGAGCGGGGUAAUCGCUUGGUCGGGACCCCUCCGCUCUGACGACCUCAAGUGGCUCCUCCGUGCGGUGACUGUUUAGUAACACGUCCUCCCCCGUUCGAACCAGCUAUCCGUUCUCCCUCGAACGUCCUGCUACGCCGUAUUGAGCGUCAACUGUCUUACGCGUCAUCCCGAGCUGGACGGGUGGCCUGCUCGGACCUAUCUCCCGUUGAUCUAGGCCUGACUGCCCGACCAACUAUUUCCAUUGUCUUCCGUUCGGCCCUCUAGCACCUAGGCGUUGACCACUUUGACUUUGACCUCUACCAUGACAAUUGACCCCGUGCCAUAUAGGCCUGCCCCCAUCGCCGCAUCACAAGCCUCCCCUCAAGUUUAGUCGAAUGAGGCUGCAAGUCCGACUGACUGGACCAGUAGAGUCUUCGAUGACUCCCACGCCUUUGUCGUUCGGCUUCGCAUUGUCAGACUGGGUAUAUAACUGUCGCUCGGCCCAAGCCUUUUGAAGCAAACUGUGUCUCAACCAUUCGGAUGUGUGAUAAUCGCUUAUCCGUGCCGCUCGGGCAAUGGGUGACAACACUUGGUGAAAAAAUUCCUUUUCCUUUAAUUGCGCUCCUCGGCCAAGAGCCCUGUUGUCAUCCAGAUUUCUCGAAGACCAUGCAAAUCUAUGAUUAUUAUAGCGGAGCACGCGACCAUAUCUUUUAAUUAAGCCUCAUUAAUGUCGUCCGAUGGUUGAGCGUCAUGUGUCUUUCUUUCUGUCGUCGCAUGUUUGACGUGACAGACGGAUAUCCGCUGGCGAUGUGAUAGACGCCUUUUCAAAUUCAUUCAAUGGCUGGAUCUUCUCUUAGUUUUUCGCAAUCGUGGAUCAAACAACUCAGGUCGAUCGGUCGCAAGGUUUAUAAACCUCGCGUGCGUCGUCGUCUUCUUCAUUUCGUCUUCGAGCUUCCCGACGACAUUUCACUUCUUCUGCCUCUCCGGCGAUCCCUCUUGUAAGCCUCUUCAUCUUUUCAGUCAAAUCUUUUCGUUGUUCUUCGUCGUCCUUGUUUUUGAUGGCCAGCUCCUCACAACCCCCACCUCCGUCCCUGGGCUCUGAUACACUUCCACUGAGUCCAAGUUCGAUGGGGGUGACGUUGAGAGUUUGAAAUCUACUUACCAAUUUCCAUCUGGCUAUCAAAUCGUUCUUCCUUCUGCUUUCGACCGGCCGUAUGAGCCACCGCCGGGUUUUUUUUGUUUCUUUGGUGUACGGUUCCCUAUCCACCCAUUUUUCUCCGCGGUCUGUAAAUAUUUUCGUAUUUCCCUUAACCAAUUAGUGUCAAACUCCUUUUGGCUGUUGUGCGGGGUCGUCGUCCUGUUCUGCCUACACGACAUUCCUCCGACUCCUCGACUCUUCCAUUAUUUUUAUUAUCUGAAAUUGUCCGAGCCGGGGACUUUUCUCUUUCAGGCCCGAGUGGGCUUAGUCUUCUUUGAUAAGAUGUCGUCCUCCAACAAGUAUUGGAGAGACUGCUACUUUUUCGUUCACUUUCUCAAGCAGCCAGAUUUCCCGACUAGCUGGUAGCUAGAAGUAUCGAACCCUCCGGAUCUCAAGAAGUACAAAAGCCGAUCGGACUAUUUCCAUGCAGCCUCCAGCUUAGCCAGUCAGAAGUACCAUAUCCAUAAGUUGCUGCUGGAGGGUGUCCUCUACGUGUUCGGCUUGAGUCCAAUCCACACUAAGCUUCCGUUAUGCUCUUUCUUCUUCCAGUCUUUGAAUCUUACUGAUUUUUCCUCCUUUUGCGCAGCUCGAAUCAUGUUGCGAGCAUGUCUGGCCGGCAAGUGCAAGUCGUGGACGUAGAGAGGGCGCUUGCAGCCAAUCGACUCCCAUAAGUAUCCGCUCGACGAAAGCGAGGAAGCGUUAGUGCAAGGGAGCGAAGCAGGACCCAGCCGAACAACUGGCAGUGGAGCAGCUGGUACAGCUGACCUUCCACCAGAGCAACCCCUGGUGCUUUCAGUUGCGGAGGCCUCCGAGUCGACCUCUUAUGGGGAGCCUUUGAUAAGCCGGAAGAGACGUCGUGCGGAAGCUACCUCCCAAUCCGCCUCCUCCGCUGUGCAGACCCCCACUCGAGCCGGCUCACGCCCUCUAUCCGAACGGGGCGAAACUUCAACACCCGCUCCUCCUGAACAAGCAGCGGUCGCCCCCCAUAUGUCCGUUUCCUCCGACCGGACGUUGUUGUUGUCCGGGCUGCCCCAUGGAACCCUCUGUGUGCCUCCAGUCACCUUUCUGCCGCCUAUAUCUCUGCCAGCGGUCGGAAAAUCUCGCAUCUGAUCGGCAUCAACAACCCAGUCGGUUGGCAGAGCAACCUCUGCCCCGUCUGCUUCGAGCGGCCAACGCCAAAUAACGACAAUUAUGCAUUUGUUGACAGACAAAUGGCGCGACCCGGACGACGCCGCAUCACGGAGCCCCAAGCACCAAAUAAUUAUUCAGGGGCCGCUCACAUGGAUAUGUGCCGACGCUCGGGCUCAUGCGGCGGUCAUGCCUCCAGGGGUACUUGUCGACAGUCAUGCCCAGAUGUCCACUAGUAUGGUAGAGAGCCUGACCAUAUUUGUCAAAGACUCGUAUUUUUGAAACACGAAGUCCAGCAGCUGCGUGCCCCGAAUGACCAAGCAGUCGCAGGAGUGCUUGGAGCAGAUAAGCGCCGAGAUGGCCUAACUAAAGGCUUGAAUAAGAGCUCCGAGCUGCUGGAGGCGGAGAGGGGCAAGAGCGCCGAGCAGGCUACGCAAUUGGCUCGGCUUAAUAAACAGACGAACACCUUUGAGUCCAAGAUCCACUCGGCCAACACCAGGAAGCUCCGAGCCAUCGAAAACUUGGAAAUCAAAAACAAAGAGUUUCGGGUGUUGACUCAAAAACUGGAGGAGGCGAAGACCUCGCUGAAUGCUGAGCGAGAGGGCAGGUCAGCCGAUUGGUCUGUGGCGAAGGCCCAGCUUGACGCCAAAGAUGCAGAGCUAGCCACUUUGAAGACGGAUUUAGAGGCAUCUCGGUUGGCGCUAGAAGUUUACCAAAGUGCGAAGUCCAGCCGGUU